CUUCCAUGUGCACACAGGAAGGGAAUGAAGCAGAGUGAAAUGGCCCAGAAGCUUUUUGGGUUAGCUCUGGGCAGUGGGGCAGCCUGAUGGAAGCUACAGGUCAUGGUGUGGUGAGGUGUGAAAGUUGUGAUGGGUGACAUCAAGCUUCUCCAGCUGGAAAGAAAAGACAGGAUUGUCACUAUUUCAUGGUCAACAGAAGAGCACCUGAAAUCCUAUCAGCAUGUCUUCAAAGGUGGAAGCAUUUCUGGUCUCUUAGCAUGUUGAUUAACCUAAUGCUAUUAAUCAGACCACAUGUCAAUAAACUUGUUGCUGAAGGAAGUGGAUGACAAUUCACCUUCCAGUUCAUGUGGCAGAAAAUUGACUGUUGUUGUGUACAGUUUUUAUAGGAAGCCUCAGAAGUGCACCCUCCGAACUUCUGGCUGUCUUUCCUGACUGUUUAAAAUGAGUUGCUGUAAGGUUAUCCAUAAGGAGUAUAGUGGAGAGAAUGCUGAAUGCAGACCAUAGUGAAUGUGACAGGUUAUCUGCUUGUCCACACAAGUGGAUACAAAGAUACUGCACAGCACAAGCAAUAUCCCUCUUCAAAGAAGAGAAGGAUUCAAGNCUUACUGAAUAACUGGUAGGAGGUUUCCUUUCUGGCUUGUACAGUUUUGUAUUUAUAGAAGAAAUUCUGGUUUCUCUUUCUGUGGUCUGUAUUUUGUAAACUGGAUAAUGAAUUAAUAUUUUUCUGGACUUAAUAUUUGAAUCAGACUUAAAACCUGGAGUGUUACUAAUUAGUACUCAGCUACUGAUAUUUUUCUGCACAUUUUCCAGAUAAUUCAUUUUUCAGCUUUUUUUAUUACAGUAGUUCAUUAAAUGGCCAUCAACUACAUGAAGUAACCAUGAAGUAACUGGUGGGUUACAGAUUUUGACGAUGGAAACAGAUGCUUCAGGCAACCAUCAUUAUUGGCAGCUGAGUUAUCUAGUUAGGCCCAAAAUGGCAUAGAACAUACACAAUGGGGAGGGAGCUUAGAAGCAUUCCACAAAGCUUUUUGCUCACUAUUUCAGUCCACUUGACACAUGCUAUGAUAAUUGCUAUGAUAAUGCAAAUAACUUACUCUGGCAUCUGAUGAUAAGAAGCAUCAAUAAUUACUGCUAAAAUAACCUUUUCAAAGGUAUGUGCUCCUCAGCUGAAGUCUAUUCUUCCCACUAACUCUUUCUGAAUGUUGAUAAACAAUAGAGAUGAUCUGAAAGCAAAUAGCAGCACUGCAGUGUGCUGCCUCAUGUAACUCUCUUACUGUUCUUUCGUCUCGAGAUUCCUAUGUGUGAUUUGCAUUUCUAAUGAAUGUGCAGCACUUGUCCUUAAUGCCCCACUAGACCUAGAAUACAAGAUUGGCUUACAGGAAAAGUUAUUAGUACUUUGUUCCAGAGAUAAAGAGCCCUACAUAGAAAAUCUUUUCCUUUUUUUCUUUUUUUUUUC
rnacentral:lncRNA from 1 species